AAAAAUUUAUACUAUACCAUGUUUUAAAGGCAUGGCAAACCUUUAGACCGGUCAGUCUCCAAGAGCCCUUAGUAACACAGGUAAAAAACCUUUGUCCAUGAUGUCUGAUUCAGGCUAUAUACCACAAUUUAAAAUAUCACAUAAUGUGAGACAUAGAAGACACAAGCAGUAGUUAUUACACUGGAUCAUUUAAAAGGAACCUGUUGCAAUAAAAAGGUUAAUUUACAGUGCAAAAUAAAGCAUGUGUUGGACCGCUGAAAAUGUAAAUGUUGCUCUGUUAUUUUCAAACAUAAAUCAUAUUUACAGUAUGGAUCCUCUGCAACAAACACACAGGGCAGGGAAGAUGUGCUGAUUGGUGUUUCUAUACAAUUAAUCCCAUAUGGGGAAUUAACUUUCAAAUACUAAUGAAGUGACUUUUUGUCUCAGUUAUUAAAUAUACUGAGCUCAUCAUGCAAACAAUGCAACACAUUUACACUAUCCCACUCUCAUAAUAAGUGUAGUGGGCUUAUAGUAUUUUUAAAGCAACAAUCAUACCAGGCACAUAGAUCCCAUGUGAAAUAACUUACAAUAAAACAGAGUAAUAAACUUAUACUUCUAUGCGACAGAAAGAAUAAAGUAAAAAGAUUUAAGUAGGUCUAUCAGGUACAACCUAUGAGUCAUUUCUUUUCUAAUAUACAGUACUGCUAUCUUGCAGAAAGAUAAGUCCUGCGCUCACUCCCAUCACUACUGGACAGCAGCAAGGACUACAGUACACAUCAGCCCCAAUAUAUGGUAAAAACCAAAGAAAAACAAGUUACCUGCGUUCUCUCCUUAAUCCCUAUGUAUUUUUAAAACCUCCAUUUGUUUAAAAGUACUGCUAUCUUAUAUAUACACAUAUACAUAUACAUACAUAUAUACAUACAUAUACACAUAUAUACAUACACACACAUAUACAUGUACAUAUAUUGGUCACUCAGGACAUGAACUCACAUUUCCCAUACUGCUGACUCAGAGUGGGGACACUACUAACUUACCAAAGUGUGUCCCCAAUAUAGACAAACAAUCACCCACAAAAAAACACUUAAGACAAACAAAGGUGACCGGGAGAAAGAGAAGUUUGGGUUAUACUUAUAGAUCAGAACACCUAUAGACUUAAUAAACCGGAGACCUCUUAUGGUCUCAAAACCUGUAUCUACCUGAGAUACCCUGUAUCUAUCUUAGAUACUAACCUGGGUUACCAAAACCCUAUAAUAAACCGGAGACCUUUUAUGGUCUCAAAAACCUGUAUCUAUCUUAGAUACUAACCUGGGUUACCAAGAACCCCUAUAUAUAUUUAGACCAAAUGUCUAAUAAACCGGAGACCUCUUAUAGUCUCAAUAUAACUAGAGUCCUUACACCUUUCCUAUCUACUGGAUACAGUCUUACUGAACCAAACGGGGGUCAUAGACAAUCAGCGUCAAUAAGACACAAAAAGGCUACUCACCGCAAAUGGUUUUGCUGAUCCAACUUCUAUCUAUCCCACUUCUAGACACCAAGCUGAAAGGGUUAAUGUUGUAAUGGACUCUAAUCCCCUCGGUUCUCGAUCCCUCGGUCACCAUAAUCAAGUUGAUGGAGAAUCAUUUGUAAGCAAUAACACACGGACAACAGCUUUACAAGACUCUCAAAUGAGUGUAUUCCAGAGCUGGCUUUUAUACAUAGUUUGCU